GUAGAAACCUGCCCAGCCAGUUAAAUGAAAGGCAUAUUAGGUUAUCCAUUGCACACAGUACAUAGCUUAGAUGCAACAGAACUCUUCCACAUAGCAGGAGUGUCUAGCAAACUCUAGUGUGGUCCAGCGAGGUGGCAUCCACUGAUUUAACAUUUAUAUUCACAGCUUCAGGGAAAGUGAGGCGUGAAACACCAUCUGCUUUUGACCAAGAGCAGAGGUUUCCUCAAUAAACUGAAGGGCUGUUGCUAUAUUGUAACAAUCUUAUAUGGUCAAUCUAAUUGUGGAUAAAAGAAUAAUUGCCUUUUUUAAGGCAAAAGAAAAAAGGAUUGGCUUGCUUGGUGAUCCUAAGUACAUUAGAGGACCAAUUCACAGGAAGAAUUAAGGAGUGUGAAAAACAAAGACUGGAAUCUGGUAACUGAUUAACUAUUAGAGUUCAAAAGCACUUGCUGAGCUGAAUAGAAAGGAAUGAAGACAGGUUUUGUCAUGCCUAUUAGGACUGAAAAACUUAACACUUAGAUCUUCCUUUCACUUAUAUUUUUAAAUAUUUAUUUUACCUUUCAUUGAUCCAAUUAAUUUAUUAUAGCAGUUUGUGUCAUUUAAAAUGAAAAUUACCAAUCUCUUUAGGUUUACUUUGGCAUACCAAAUUACCCCGUCACUUAUCAAUAUUAUAAUGAAUUAAAUGUACACAUUCUGGGACAUUUAAUUUAAUGUAACAGCUGACAUGAAUUUAUCUGGGAAUUUAAAAAAUUUUAAACAGAUUGAUACUGAAUAGUUUUCUGUCAAGAGCUAUCUGUAGGUCAUCUUGAUAGAACUUUACUUUGAAAUGAGCAAGAAUGAUGCAUCUUUUUCAUUGUCUCUAGUGUCCUCACUUUGUCACUAUGUUCAAACUCAAAGGCUGUAAUAAGUUUCUUUAGGAAGUUAAUAAAGUAAAAAGAAAAAAUGGAAAUAAAUGUUCAGAUGAGAUUUCAUUUGUUGCAGAGGAAACCUUUGGAUGCUUCUUAGUCCUACUUCUAGGCAGUUUUGCAUAAAACUUCUGAAAAUCAGCUUAACUUUUGUAAAACUAUGUAUCUGCAAAAGGAAUGUGCUGAUUCGGCAAGCCAAAAUUAAUUUUAUUCAGCACACAUUGUAUUCUGACAAGUUUCUGUUAACAGGGAUCAAACUUUCAAUAGGUUGAAUUUUUCUUUUUAAUUAGUUUUCAGAUAAGACAGACAUCUAUUAAUUGAGCACAUUGUUUAUGUUUCUCUUGAAUAUAUUAUAUAUAACUGAAUUUUAAACCAUACUGUAUUUAAAAUAUAGGGCUUUUUUUUCAGGGCUUAUUGUUUAAAGAUAAGCUUAAUUUAUUGAGUUUUUUAUGUUUAUUGUUUUGGGAAAACAACUUAGAGGAGUUAAACAUCUAUUUCAUCUAAACCUAUGGGUAAAACUUCAAGCUGUAUUCCACAUUUUGGAAGGGGAUUCUACAGUUUUCACUUAAUGGGAUUUUCAUUUUCAAAUUACAUUAAGUUCUACUAAAUGAUUCUUAUGCAUUUUAAGUAGAUUCAUUUAAAAUAUUGAUACAUUAUUUUUUAUUAAAAUUCAGGAUAUAUGAAUUUAUUAACCAAAUUAGGAUGCAUUUCUUCUCACUAUUUCUAGACACCCAAUUUACACAAUUGCUUUUGUCAACAAUGUUAACUUUCAUAACAACUUCCUUCCUUCCUUCCUACAUUCGUGUUUCUUAUGAAAACCACUGAGAAUCAUGACAUUUUUUAGGUAGAAGGACUCUUACAUAAUAACUAAUAAACUUAGUAUUUCAUUUUUGAGAUGAGGAAUGAAAAUCCCAAACAUGUAACUAAAUCACUACUGUAUAAUCCAAGGGUAGCACUGGUAUAAGAACAUCCAGGUUUCUUCAAUACCAGCCCAGACUAGUAGUUUUUUCACUACCCUACAAUGAUUGUCCUGAAUACUACAUGCAAUCAAUGUUUUCUAGAGCAUUUGAAAACAGGUAAAAUUUUAUUAUUUAGUUAUAUUAAUGAAUCACUGGUGAGCUAAUUAUUUACUUUUAUAUUUUAAUCUAUAUCAUUACUGCCACCAAACAUUUUGGGUAUAGGGGCUGAAUUUAUAGGUAAUUUAAAUUAUGCCAUUGGUAAUAAAGGUGAUUGCCACCUCAAAACUUAACAUCUUAAUGUGGUCAUACAGUUCUGGAUCAAACUAAUGAGAAUCUCCUAUUGUUUUCUAACAAUACUGCUUUAAGCAGCUCAACUUUUUUCCUGAUGCGUAUUAUUUUUUGCUAUAGUCAUUUGCCUAAGAAUUUACAACUCUGAAAUUUGGCAUGAGCUGACAGGAAAAUUUCAGUAUGGUUAUUGAAGACCAGAAGUGUAGGAUUCAAAACUCAUCUUAGAAGUGAUAAAACUUGUUAUUUAAGGGGUAAUCUCUUAAAAAGAACUUUGUACACACAGAUGCUGAACAAAUUCCUCAAACAUUUUUAACUUUAGGAAUUCUUAGGAACUGGGACUAUAAACAAACAGUUUGAGAACUAGAGGUUCAAAAAUGUAAAUUCUGAUUCCAGUUACUAAAUGUUAAUUUUCCUAAUCCUCUUAUCUUUUUACAGGUAAAAUCCUACCUGACUGAUGCUUCUAAAUUUAGUAAUUUUAGUCCAGUCCAAGUGGAUUCUGAAAAAUAAUCACUUGUAAUUGUUUUACUUUUACAAUGAAGAGAAAGGAGAGUACAUUGAAAAACAUGUGGGCUUCUGAGCCAAGCUGACAUGUGUUUGAAUAUUGACUCUGCUAAAAACUAUAAUUGUGAAUUAUUUAACUUUCUAAGUUCUCUUUUCUCCAUCUUUAAAUUAAGGAAACUAAAAUCAUUCAUUAAGAGUUGUUAAAUUAGGGUUGGGGAUGUAGUUCCUUGGUAGAGUGCUUGAGUCACCUGUACAAACCCAAGGUUAGAUCCCCAACAUCACAAAAGAAAAAAAACGGGGGGGGGGGGGGUGCACAAUGACAGAGUUGUAGGGUUAAAUGAUCUAGUUUGCAUAAAACAGUGUGAAUCCCAGAACACAGUAGGUACUCAGUAAAUGCUUUUCCUUUCCCAACACCUAACACUUUAUAUAAUACAUUUUGCUGGGCAUGGUGGUACAUGCCUACAAUCCUAGAACUCUGGGAGGCUGAGGCAGGAGGAUGGCAAGUUUGAGCACAGCCCCAGCAAUUUAGCUAUUUAGUGAGACCUGUUUCAAAACAAAAAAAUAAAAAGGGUUGGGGAUGUAGCUCAGUACAAAGGCCUAAGGUUUAAUCCCCAGUACUGGGUGGUAUGAGGGGAAAAAAAAAAAAAAAAUAUAUAUAUAUAUAUACACACAUAUAUAUAUGUCAACAACACAUUCAGUAAAAGACAAAACUUAAUUUAAAAUAUGCAUUUUGGCCAGGGAUUUAGCUCAGUGGUUUCACCACCUGCUGUGCAAGCGCAAAGACCCAAGUUCAAUCCCCAGUACCAAAAAUAAAUAAAAUACACAUUUUAUUUUGUCAGAAAUUAAAAUUAACUUAGCAAUCUUGGACGGCAUUAAGAUUUAAUAAUGGAUAACAUUUUAACCUUCAAAUUUAAAAAUCAGAAACCCAUCCAAUUCAAUUAAAAAUUCACUACAAAGAAGCCUUUGUUAAAAGCAUUUUGAGAGCAGUAUACCAAGAUGAUUAAAAGGUUUAAAUAUAGCCCAGCAGAGUGGUGCACUCUAGGGGGCUAAGGCAGGAGGAUCACAAAUUCUAACCCACCCUGGGCAAUUUAGACACAUGCAAGACCCUUUCUCAAAAUAAAAAAUAAAAAAGAGCUGAGGAUGUAACUCAGUGCAAAGGCCUUGCCUUCAAUACCUAGUACUAACCCCCAAAAAAGGUUUCAAUGGCCUUUUUUUUUUAGUACCAGGGAUCGAACUCGGGUCCUUGCACUUGCAAGGCAGGUGGCGGAACCACUGAGCUAAAUCCCCAGCCCUCAAUGGCCUUUUUAAAAAUUCAAAUUUCUGGCCGGGUAUUUAGCUCAGUGGUUCCACCGCCUGCCUCGCAAGCGUAAGGACCCGAUCCCUGGAACCAAAAAAAAAAAAUUCAAAUUUCAAGGGAGCUUGAGGGAGGGAAAUGGGGUAAAAUUAAAAUAAAAUUUAAAAAAUAAAAUUCAAAUUUCAGUCAUGAUAUCAAUAGAAGGAAGUGUGACACAGAUAAUUCAAAUACCUUAUGUGUGCCUAGUAUCUGAAUUUUCCAAAGGCUGUCUAUAUAUGUUAUCUCAUAUAACAUCAAAUAAGUUGCCCAAAGAUUUCUAUACACUCAGAAUUGUGCUCCUUCUACUACCAACUGAAUUAUUUCUUUAGGAUGCUAGAAUGUGUUUUUCCUCUCUGAAAGAUUCCUUUCUGAAUUAAAUUACAGGUUAAUAUUAAAUUUAUUGCAUUCUCUUGAUAGCAAAAAAAAAAAAUGAUGGGAAGAGAGCAUCCAUAAUGUUUAGGGUAUAAAAAAGCAAAAGAAUAAGAUUUGAUAGUUUCUAAAUAUAUUAGUAUCUACUAAUUAACUGAUUAGGGAUACAGCCAAUGAGCAAAGAUCACACAGAAACUAUGAAAUAUGUAUAUUGGUCAGAUGGGACUUUACAAUACUGCGACAAAUAUUGUAAGAGCUUAUCUAACUACAGUAAGGUCAAAUGAUACAUCUUCCAAUGAAUGAAACAGGAAGUAGGUUAAGAGUUAGUAUUAGGAUCAAGUAAUAAAUUGAUUUAUAAAACUGAUAUUACUGAGUUCUUCUAAUCAACUUUAAUUUUCUGAAAAUUAUUUGUUGAUGCUGUAAUUUAAAUUUGAAUUUAUUAACCAUGGUAAAUUAUUUUCUAAGUUCUAUAACUUGUAUGUAAACAUUAUACCCAAAGAUAAAGGUACGCUUCACCAAAAUACCCCAUUAAUUACUACCUUAUUGAAGCUAUUUUAUUAGACACAUAAGGAAUUUAGCCUAUAUAACUAGUCUUAGAUUAGUGGUUAAUUUGCAUUUAUUUUCAUACAUUUAGAGUGGAUAUUACUACAAGACAGAAGACUAACAGAAAUUUUACAUAUGCUUUAAGAAAGUUUCUAUGUAAAUAAUUUGGAUAAUCCAGGUCUAAAAACUAAACUUGUUAUAAACCAAAAACUAACUGAAAUAGAGAUUAUAACAUACUGUCUUAAAGACAAACUUAAAAUUAAGCAGAAAACUAUAACUGGAAAGUUAUUACUAUUGACAAAUGAGUCCCUUCAAAUCCAACCCAUUAAUACUAACAGGGAAACAACCCCAAAUACAUAUCUAACCAAUCUCAGGUCAGCAUUACCAUCCUUGCAAACAACUACAUACAAUUAAUCUGACUGCCCUAUCCGUGCACAAAAACUUACAAAUUUUCUACCAACUCAAAAGUAGUGAGAGGAAAUUUUAAGUUUCCCCUUUAUCUCUUAGUCAAAGUUCUCCACGGAAAGUAGAGUCUGAGUCUUUUGGUUUAUGUACAGUCUUUUUAUUUAGGAAGUCACCUCAGGAACAGGAAUGGGGAAUUGAUUACAAGAGAGAAAAAGGAAGAAAGAAAACCAAAUACAGGGAUCAAACUCGGGACCUUGCGCUUUCAAGGCAGGCGGUGGAACCACUGAGCUAAAUCCCUGGCGCCAGGAGUGCAUUUUUAUUUUUGUUUUUUGCAGUGCUGGGAAUUGAAUCCAGGGCCUUGUAUAUGCUAGGUAAGCAGUCUACCACUGAGCCUCACUCUCAACCCCACCAGCACAUUCUUGAGUUAAUGCUCACUACAAACAAAUAAUGUUCAAGCUUAAGUAGGUUCUUAAGAGCCUUGAAAAAAACUUCAAAAUUCCCUGCUAGAGGACACAAGAGAGAAGCAUUUAUCUAUCAGUCCCUUAGUUAACGGCUGUCUCACUGAUUGUUAAUUUCUUAUACAGUGGCCCCUUAUCAACUCAAUUGGUUCCUGAGGGAGGACUGGUUAUAAGUUAAUGCAGCUGAGAUCUGGAUGUUUACCUGGGUACAUGCUAUAGAUAACAAGAGGCAAAUGAAUCUUCCAUUAACCUAAUUAACCCAAGUUGUUCAUAUGUCAGGCCGGUCGUAACUUGAGGGUCCACUAUACUUUCAAGUUGUGCACUUGUUUCCACCAACUUCGGAGAAGGCCCUAGGUCAGAAACUCAGGGGAUGGGCUUCAGGUUUCACCUGUCCCCAAAACAGAUGAGACAAGCAGGGCCAAAGAAAUUACAAUAUAUCAUAUUAUAGGACAAAUAUGGUCAAACUACUUUUCCUUUAGAUUUACCAACGUAAUUGUAGUAUGGAAUACAAUUAAAAUGAAUUUUCUGAAAAAUAAGUACAGCAAUUUCAAAUGGGAAACAAGGAUUAGACUAUUUUCAUCUGAUGUAUUUGAUCCAUUCCCACAAAACCUGAGAAGCACUGAAACUUAAUCUUUUGUGAGAAAGGCAUUUUCUAAUAAAUUACAAUUCAUUUCCUGUAUUUGGUUGCCAAUUUUUAAAGGGCUGAACAGUAGCAAGAAGAAUAAUUAGUAUAUAUUCUAAAUAUACUUUAUGUCCAGCAUUGAUCCAAAGACUUUACCAUGUACAUUUACAUUGGUAAAAUAAUAGUAAAACAAAUUGACUACUUUGGACCCUCAACGAACACUUCUCAUUAUAGCAAAACACAGAAUUCUGAAUAGUAGAAGUUUGUCUUGGACUGUGUCCAAAUAGGUCUGGUUACAAGAAGUAAUUCAUUAUAACCUAUAAUGUGAUUCUGGAGUUUAGCUGUAAAGAACACCUUAUACGCAGGUUCUAGUCAAACAGGUUAAAAAUGGAAAAUCAGGACAGCUAGUCAUGUGCUUUAAUUAAGUAAAUUUCACAUUAAGUAAUUAAGUUUAUAUAAUACAUAAACUUAGUUUAGAGAAUGUGAAUAGGUGAAAAUAAAAAAAAUCUUACAAAGCAUAUCAUCUUUCCAUUUAACUUGAAUUCUAUUAUCAUUAAAUAUUUGAGUUUUUUUAAAUAAGUCUCUUUUAAGUAGUUAAAACACCCAAUGAAUUGAAUAAGGAUGACAUACAGAAAUUGAACUAAAGAGUAUACAGUAAAUAAGAAAUAGUAGGGACAAACACUGCUGAACAAAGUCCCAUAACAACAAAAUACUAUUUUCAGAAGGAGGAAUAAAACAUACUCAUUUUUUCACUACUUCAGGUCAAAUCACAAUAUACCAACAUCUGAACCAAUAUUCACUUUCUUAGACUUGACACUGGAAAGAUCAUAUACCACUAUUAAGUAAAGGAUUUUUAAUAAGCACUAAUUCCAGAAAUAAAUACAUAAAUUAGUUUCUUCUUUCAAUACAAUUUUGCUGUUGGGCUAGGAGAUUUUUCAAAUCCUUGAGAAUAUAAUGGAAAUUGUUAACCACCACCAUGUACUACUACUCGCUCAUCUAAAUUCAAUUAUAUAAAUCAAAGUACUUAAAUUAAAUUUAAGUCACAAUUUGCAUAGCAAUUCAACAAUUUCACUACUAUUAUACAACUUUAGUGACUAGAGAGUUAUCUAUGAUUAGCUGUAUCUCUUUUUUUUUUUUAUGAAAACAGACAUUUAUCUUGCAGGAAUUGGAGUCGUAGGUGGGCCCUGGAUUUAUUAGACCAGCAACUUCAUUGUAAGUGCACUGAAACACUGUCUCUGCAGCUCACUUAUUUCCCCAUCAUGGAUGCAAGUUGUAGACAUCAUGUCACCUCAUAACCGUACUCAGGCAGGAAGAGACUCGUAGAAAAAGUGCUUCCUUUUUGUCAGUGAGGUAAAUCUUUCCUAGAAUCUCCCAGCAGAGUUCCCUCAUAUGGCUGGCCACCUCUAGGUGCAAGAAGAAUUUUAAUUUAGUUAUAUUAAUCCACUUGAUUAUCAUCUGUGUCACCUAAAUCAGCAUCAAAAUCUAAAUCAUCAAUUCUUCUGCAGCUUCUUCUAUGAUUGGAUCUUAGAUUAUUUUCAAUAUUUUCUGUCUUUUCUGUUUCUUUAUUAACAGAGUAACAAUGUCUUCUUUCUUUCCACAUUUUGCACAAACUUCAAGUUCAUGGGCAUAUGGUCUACACAUUAUAUAGGUAGAAUCCUUCACAGUCUUUUAUAAAAAUGUAAGGGUUUUAGAAGUUUCAGUCUUUGCACAGCUGGCUGGCUCCAGGCAGAAGAGGCAAGGUGCCAGGGGCUAGGCAGAGGAAAGCUGCUCACCUCAUGCCAACAGGAAGCAGAGAGACUAGCUGUAGCUCUUAAAUCUAACUACUAAAUAAGAGUUUCUUAUACUGUUUGGAUACAUAUAUACAUUUCAUUCACUCCCAGCAACAGUUCUAUGAAAUACCCAACAUAUAUAUUAUCUUCAUUUUGUUGAUAAGCAACCAAACCAAAGAGAAGUUAUAAUAUUUGCUCAAUAGAAUCAGAAUUAACUUUAAGUGGGGAUGAUGCUGUUCCCUAUAUCAAUCUAUAAAAAUACAUUUUUAUACAUUUGCAGUUUUUGGAACUCACAAUGAUUCACCCAUCCACCCCAACACACACACAGCAGAACUCUUCA
ensembl:lncRNA